GACGUAGGGCGCGAGCGUUGUCCGGAUUUAUUGGGCGUAAAGAGCUCGUAGGCGGUUUGUCGCGUCGACCGUGAAAACUUGGGGCUCAACCCCAAGCCUGCGGUCGAUACGGGCAGGCUCGAGUUCGGUAGGGGAGACUGGAAUUCCUGGUGUAGCGGUGAAAUGCGCAGAUAUCAGGAGGAACACCGAUGGCGAAGGCAGGUCUCUGGGCCGAUACUGACGCUGAGGAGCGAAAGCGUGGGGAGCGAACAGG
rnacentral:rRNA from 1 species